rnacentral:rRNA from 1 species
GACGAACGCUGGCGGCGUGCCUAAUACAUGCAAGUCGAGCGGACCGAACAGGAGCUUGCUCUUGUUCGGUUAGCGGCGGACGGGUGAGUAACACGUGGGUAACCUGCCCGUAAGACCGGGAUAACUUCGGGAAACCGGAGCUAAUACCGGAUAACACCGAAGACCGCAUGGUCUUUGGUUGAAAGGCGGCUUCGGCGGCCACUUACGGAUGGGCCCGCGGCGCUUUAGCAAGUUGGUGAGGUAACGGCUCACCAAGGCGACGAUGCGUAGCCGGCCUGAGAGGGUGGCCCGCCACACCUGGACUGAGACACGGCCCAGACUCCUACGGGAGGCAGCAGGAGGGAAUCUUCCGCAAUGGACCGAAGUCUUACGGGGCGACGCCGCGUGAGCGAAGAAGGUCUUCGGGUCGUAAAGCUCCGUUGUUAGGGAAGAAGAAGCGUCGUUCGAACAGGGCGGCGCGGUGACGGUACCUAACGAGAAAGCCCCGGCUAACUACGUG